rnacentral:rRNA from 1 species
AGCGGUAAGGCCUUUCGGGGUACACGAGCGGCGAACGGGUGAGUAACACGUGGGUGAUCUGCCCUGCACUUCGGGAUAAGCCUGGGAAACUGGGUCUAAUACCGGAUAUGACCUCCUAUCGCAUGGUGGGUGGUGGAAAGAUUUAUCGGUGCAGGAUGGGCCCGCGGNCCUAUCAGCUUGUUGGUGGGGUAAUGGCCUACCAAGGCGACGACGGGUAGCCGACCUGAGAGGGUGACCGGCCACACUGGGACUGAGACACGGCCCANACUCCUACGGGAGGCAGCAGUGGGGAAUAUUGCACAAUGGGCGAAAGCCUGAUGCAGCGACGCCNCGUGAGGGAUGACGGCCUUCGGGUUGUAAACCUCUUUCAGCAGGGACGAAGCGCANGUGACGGUACCUGCAGAAGAAGCACCGGCUAACUACGUGCCAGCAGCCGCGGUAAUACGUANGGUGCAAGCGUUGUCCGGAAUUACUGGGCGUAAAGAGUUCGUAGGCGGUUUGUCGCGUCGUUUGUGAAAACCAGCAGCUCAACUGCUGGCUUGCAGGCGAUACGGGCAGACUUGAGUACUGCAGGGGAGACUGGAAUUCCUGGUGUAGCGGUGAAAUGCGCAGAUNUCAGGAGGAACACCGGUGGCGAAGGCGGGUCUCUGGGCAGUAACUGACGCUGAGGAACGAAAGCGUGGGUAGCGAACAGGAUUAGAUACCCUGGUAGUCCACGCCGUAAACGGUGGGNGC